rnacentral:rRNA from 1 species
NNNNNNNNNNNNNNNNNNNNNNNNNNNNNNNNNNNNNNNNNNNNNNAUGAAGGACGUUACUAACGACGAUAUGCUUUGGGGAGCUGUAAGUAAGCUUUGAUCCAGAGAUUUCCGAAUGGGGAAACCCAGCAUGAGUUAUGUCAUGUUAUCGAUAUGUGAAUACAUAGCAUAUCAGAAGGCACACCCGGAGAACUGAAACAUCUUAGUACCCGGAGGAAGAGAAAGAAAAUUCGAUUCCCUUAGUAGCGGCGAGCGAAACGGGAAGAGCCCAAACCAACAAGCUUGCUUGUUGGGGUUGUAGGACACUCUAUACGGAGUUACAAAGGACGACAUUAGACGAAUCAUCUGGAAAGAUGAAUCAAAGAAGGUAAUAAUCCUGUAGUCGAAAAUGUUGUCUCUCUUGAGUGGAUCCUGAGUACGACGGAGCACGUGAAAUUCCGUCGGAAUCUGGGAGGACCAUCUCCUAAGGCUAAAUACUCUCUAGUGACCGAUAGUGAACCAGUACCGUGAGGGAAAGGUGAAAAGCACCCCGGAAGGGGAGUGAAAUAGAACCUGAAACCGUGUGCUUACAAGUAGUCAGAGCCCGUUAAUGGGUGAUGGCGUGCCUUUUGUAGAAUGAACCGGCGAGUUACGAUUUGAUGCAAGGUUAAGCAGUAAAUGUGGAGCCGUAGCGAAAGCGAGUCUGAAUAGGGCGUUUAGUAUUUGGUCGUAGACCCGAAACCAGGUGAUCUACCCUUGGUCAGGUUGAAGUUCAGGUAACACUGAAUGGAGGACCGAACCGACUUACGUUGAAAAGUGAGCGGAUGAACUGAGGGUAGCGGAGAAAUUCCAAUCGAACCUGGAGAUAGCUGGUUCUCUCCGAAAUAGCUUUAGGGCUAGCCUCAAGUGAUGAUUAUUGGAGGUAGAGCACUGUUUGGACGAGGGGCCCCUCUCGGGUUACCGAAUUCAGACAAACUCCGAAUGCCAAUUAAUUUAACUUGGGAGUCAGAACAUGGGUGAUAAGGUCCGUGUUCGAAAGGGAAACAGCCCAGACCACCAGCUAAGGUCCCAAAAUAUAUGUUAAGUGGAAAAGGAUGUGGCGUUGCCCAGACAACUAGGAUGUUGGCUUAGAAGCAGCCAUCAUUUAAAGAGUGCGUAAUAGCUCACUAGUCGAGUGACACUGCGCCGAAAAUGUACCGGGGCUAAACAUAUUACCGAAGCUGUGGAUUGUCCUUUGGACAAUGGUAGGAGAGCGUUCUAAGGGCGUUGAAGCAUGAUCGUAAGGACAUGUGGAGCGCUUAGAAGUGAGAAUGCCGGUGUGAGUAGCGAAAGACGGGUGAGAAUCCCGUCCACCGAUUGACUAAGGUUUCCAGAGGAAGGCUCGUCCGCUCUGGGUUAGUCGGGUCCUAAGCUGAGGCCGACAGGCGUAGGCGAUGGAUAACAGGUUGAUAUUCCUGUACCACCUAUAAUCGUUUUAAUCGAUGGGGGGACGCAGUAGGAUAGGCGAAGCGUGCGAUUGGAUUGCACGUCUAAGCAGUAAGGCUGAGUAUUAGGCAAAUCCGGUACUCGUUAAGGCUGAGCUGUGAUGGGGAGAAGACAUUGUGUCUUCGAGUCGUUGAUUUCACACUGCCGAGAAAAGCCUCUAGAUAGAAAAUAGGUGCCCGUACCGCAAACCGACACAGGUAGUCAAGAUGAGAAUUCUAAGGUGAGCGAGCGAACUCUCGUUAAGGAACUCGGCAAAAUGACCCCGUAACUUCGGGAGAAGGGGUGCUCUUUAGGGUUAACGCCCAGAAGAGCCGCAGUGAAUAGGCCCAAGCGACUGUUUAUCAAAAACACAGGUCUCUGCUAAACCGUAAGGUGAUGUAUAGGGGCUGACGCCUGCCCGGUGCUGGAAGGUUAAGAGGAGUGGUUAGCUUCUGCGAAGCUACGAAUCGAAGCCCCAGUAAACGGCGGCCGUAACUAUAACGGUCCUAAGGUAGCGAAAUUCCUUGUCGGGUAAGUUCCGACCCGCACGAAAGGCGUAACGAUUUGGGCACUGUCUCAACGAGAGACUCGGUGAAAUCAUAGUACCUGUGAAGAUGCAGGUUACCCGCGACAGGACGGAAAGACCCCGUGGAGCUUUACUGUAGCCUGAUAUUGAAAUUCGGCACAGCUUGUACAGGAUAGGUAGGAGCCUUUGAAACGUGAGCGCUAGCUUACGUGGAGGCGCUGGUGGGAUACUACCCUAGCUGUGUUGGCUUUCUAACCCGCACCACUUAUCGUGGUGGGAGACAGUGUCAGGCGGGCAGUUUGACUGGGGCGGUCGCCUCCUAAAAGGUAACGGAGGCGCUCAAAGGUUCCCUCAGAAUGGUUGGAAAUCAUUCAUAGAGUGUAAAGGCAUAAGGGAGCUUGACUGCGAGACCUACAAGUCGAGCAGGGUCGAAAGACGGACUUAGUGAUCCGGUGGUUCCGCAUGGAAGGGCCAUCGCUCAACGGAUAAAAGCUACCCCGGGGAUAACAGGCUUAUCUCCCCCAAGAGUUCACAUCGACGGGGAGGUUUGGCACCUCGAUGUCGGCUCAUCGCAUCCUGGGGCUGUAGUCGGUCCCAAGGGUUGGGCUGUUCGCCCAUUAAAGCGGUACGCGAGCUGGGUUCAGAACGUCGUGAGACAGUUCGGUCCCUAUCCGUCGUGGGCGUAGGAAAUUUGAGAGGAGCUGUCCUUAGUACGAGAGGACCGGGAUGGACAUACCUCUGGUGUACCAGUUGUCGUGCCAACGGCAUAGCUGGGUAGCUAUGUGUGGACGGGAUAAGUGCUGAAAGCAUCUAAGCAUGAAGCCCCCCUCAAGAUGAGAUUUCCCAACUUCGGUUAUAAGAUCCCUCAAAGAUGAUGAGGUUAAUAGGUUCGAGGUGGAAGCAUGGUGACAUGUGGAGCUGACGAAUACUAAUCGAUCGAAGACUUAAUCAA